rnacentral:rRNA from 1 species
GACGAACGCUGGCGGCGUGCUUAACACAUGCAAGUCGAACGGAAAGGCCCUGCUUUUGUGGGGUGCUCGAGUGGCGAACGGGUGAGUAACACGUGAGUAACCUGCCCUUGACUUUGGGAUAACUUCAGGAAACUGGGGCUAAUACCGGAUAGGAGCUCCUGCUGCAUGGUGGGGGUUGGAAAGUUUCGGCGGGUGGGGAUGGACUCGCGGCUUAUCAGCUUGUUGGUGGGGUAGUGGCUUACCAAGGCUUUGACGGGUAGCCGACCUGAGAGGGUGACCGGCCACAAUGGGACUGAGAUACGGCCCAGACUCCUACGGGGGGCAGCAGUGGGAAAUAUUGCACAAUGGGCGGAAGCCUGAUGCAGCAACGCCGCGUGCGGGAUGACGGCCUUCGGGUUGGAAACCGCUUUCGCCUGUGACGAAGCGUGAGUGACGGUAAUGGGUAAAGAAGCACCGGCUAACUACGUG